rnacentral:rRNA from 1 species
GAUGAACGCUGGCGGCGUGCCUGAUACAUGCAAGUCGAGCGAACGGACGAGAAGCUUGCUUUUCUGAUGUUAGCGGCGGACGGGUGAGUAACACGUGGAUAACCUACCUAUAAGACUGGGAUAACUUCGGGAAACCGGAGCUAAUACCGGAUAAUAUUUUGAACCGCAUGGUUCAAAAGUGAAAGACGGUCUUGCUGUCACUUAUAGAUGGAUCCGCGCUGCAUUAGCUAGUUGGUAAGGUAACGGCUUACCAAGGCAACGAUGCAUAGCCGACCUGAGAGGGUGAUCGGCCACACUGGAACUGAGACACGGUCCAGACUCCUACGGGAGGCAGCAGUAGGGAAUCUUCCGCAAUGGGCGAAAGCCUGACGGAGCAACGCCGCGUGAGUGAUGAAGGUCUUCGGAUCGUAAAACUCUGUUAUUAGGGAAGAACAUAUGUGUAAGUAACUGUGCACAUCUUGACGGUACCUAAUCAGAAAGCCACGGCUAACUACGUG